AAAGGCACAUGUGUCCAAAAAAUGUACAUAAGCCCAAGGUACUUUGGAAGGAUAUUCUAACAGGACAAUGGAAAGGUCCUGACCCAGUGAUUUUCUGGAGUCGGGGAUCUGUUUGUGUGUUUCCACAGGACGAACAGCAGCCAAUUUGGAUUCCAGAGAGACUAACUAAAGCGAUUUCUACAGACCAAAAAGAAGAUGAUUUGGCUCAAAUCCAUAACAGCUGAUAUCCAGAACUCCAGUUUGGCUAUCCUUACAUAUGCGACAGUGGUUCUCCCACACCUAGAGGCUAAUGAAUAAUGAACACCAUUAAGGCCUAUUUCAAAUGUAAGAAACCUUGGGGCUUGCUUGUGGGAAUACCUUCAGACCCAUAUGCAAGUUACAGGAAGAAGGAUGGGAUAUCAAAAGAAGAGUCAAACCCAGGUGGUAACCAGGAUGCUUUUUUCAAUAUCUAUUUUAUUAUUGCCCUUUCCCACAUCAUGAAGUUCUAUUUUGUUUUUUGAGCUCAUACAGACCUAGGUUAAUGUUUUUCUGAUCAGUUCUAUUUUUUGACUGUGGAGUUUUUGAGCAUUGCAAUGGGGAUUUCACCUGUGAAAAGCUACAAGGCGUUUACUAUUAUGUUAUGUGUUGUAUGUAUUGUGUUAUGUGUGCACACUUGUGUUAUGUGUUGUAUGUCUGUAUGUGCGUAUGUCCAUAUAUCAUUUAUGAGGAGCGCUCAUGAAAAAAUGGAUCCAAAUUUUUUUUUUAUUCACGUGAUUUAAAUGGUUUAAUUUAAAUUAGGUAAAUAGCUGUUGAGGAUUGUUUUAAAAGGUGGUUAACAGAUCUGUUUGUUUACUUUCACCUUUCCUUUUCAUUAUAUCUAAUUCUGUUCAGGAUACUAAAUUGUUUAGAAAAUUGUUUUUUUCUUUUUUAGUGCCUGCUGGAAUGUUACAUAAUUUUUUUUUAGCCAUCACUGCCAGAAUUUCUAUCUUCAUCCCAGUGCUGGUGAAGACAAAGAUAAAACCAAACUACAGCUUCUGCGAUAGCUAUCACUACAAACUGUAUAAACUGAUGCAUCAAUGAAUAAUGUAACUCAACAAGUGAUACUCAAUCAAGGAGUCGAUUUACUUUGGGAGGUAAUGGAUAUAUUAAUGGAUUCCUCUGCUUUGAACUACUUGCAAAACUUGCCUGGACUAUGUAUCACUUGUAUGCAUUGUGAAUUAUCUGUUUGUGCAGCGAAUUGUGGUAGUGCCGGGGUAUCUUUGCUGAUGGUGUCAUCAAUGGUACAAUUUUUCCAAAAGGAGCCGUCAAUGGCUUGGUAUCAUGGUGUUUUGUAUCCUCCCCUUUCUGCUUGUAGCAGGUUAUUUAUGGUGUUUGUGUAAAAACCACUAUCCACAAGUAUGGCUAAAUGCUGGGCCGGUAGUCAAUGACGGGUAAGAUCCAAUUGCAAUGGUACCAAUCUAAGACAGGAGGCUGACGCCUUGAGGUCAGCUCAUCCAAUGAUGGGUAAGGACCAUAUAUAGUAUUGGACAACCUAAGACAGGCACGGUCCCUAAGCCACAUGCUUGUUGUUUAAUUAAACAGAAGGCGGGAGAUGUUGAGAGCCGCAGCCCAGUCGGGAUGGCGCCUGGCAUUUUGCCAGGGGGAGUGGUUGAGAGGUGGCGCCAGGGAGCCAUUAGGAUGGUGAUGGUUGCGUUCUCACGGAGUUCCUGUUGAGUUCCGGUUGAGCUCUCGCGGAGUUCCUGGAGAGUUUGCAGGGGUGGCGUUUGCGGGGUUCGGAAAUAAAGUUCGUUCCUGCUUGAAUCUACAAGUGGCUCGUGACCUCCCGGUUUCUCAUCAAGAUCCUAUAUCAUUUCACAAACAUUGGAACAUCGAUCCAGUGAAGGUGUGUUUCACGUGGUUGGCACCCAAUGUGGAGGAAAAAGCCACACAAAAGACACAAAAUGGUUUUAGAGAAGAGUUGUGAAGCCUGGCGGCCAGGGAGCAUGGAUUGCGGUAGGGAGCAGAAAUGGAAACUUGACAUUGUCCCACUGAACUGAGCUCAUACUGCUACUGUGUGCCACCUGGCAUUGGAUACUUCCUGACUUUAGGUGCAAAUCAUGUAUAUGGCAUAUAUUUUUUUUUGAUGGGGGAAGAGAAGGAAUGAUGGGUGAAAACAAUGUUGUUGUUCUUGUUUUCCUGAGAAAAUCACGUUUUUUUGACUAAUGCAAUUAUUGUAAUACGGUGAUUACUGCACAUUUUUUAGGCUGUGAUAUAGCAGCUUUAUUACUGUCACAGGAAAAUAAAUGGUACCAGAAGUCCCUUUCUUGUUCUUUCUCUUCAUUAAAUGAGUUUCAUUUGGGCAAGGCACUGAAGAGAAGUGAUUAUCGUUCUGUAUAAAGAAGAGUGAAUGUUGUUUGACAUGGAUAUUGCCAAUGAUAUGAACUUUUAAACCUUUUUAUUG
rnacentral:lncRNA from 1 species